GAUGAACGCUGGCGGCGUGCUUAACAUAUGCAAGUCGAACGAAGCACUUUAACUUGAUUUCUUCGGAAAGAUUGUUAUUGUGACUGAGUGGCGGACGGGUGAGUAACGAGUGGGUAACCUGCCUCAUACAGGGGGAUAACAGUUGGAAACGACUGCUAAUACCGCAUAAGCGCACGGUAUCGCAUGAUACAGUGUGAAAAACUCCGGUGGUAUGAGAUGGACCCGCGUCUGAUUAGAUAGUUGGCGGAGUAACGGCCCACCAAGGCAACGAUCGUUAGCCGACCUGAGAGGGUGACCGGCCACAUUGGGACUGAGACACGGUCCAAACUCCUACGGGAGGCAGCAGUGGGGAAUAUUGCACAAUGGGCGAAAGCCUGAUGCAGCGACGCCGCGUGAACGAUGAAGUAUUUCGGUAUGUAAAGUUCUAUCAGCAGGGAAGAAGAAUGACGGUACCUGACUAAGAAGCACCGGCUAAAUACGUGCCAGCCGCCGCGGUAA
rnacentral:rRNA from 1 species